GGGCUCAUGCUGGCAGCACAUAUACUAAAUUUGGAACAAUACAGAGAGAAGAUUAGCAUGGCCCUGUGCAAGGAUGACACGUAGCUCCGUGAAGCAUUCCAUUAAAAA